AACAGCAUUGGACAGAGAGAUCAGAAAUGGUCCACUGGCUUGGGCAUGUAAUAGCUCUGUGACCUUGGGAAAGACUUGAAAUAUCUCUGAACAGAGUCAUAUUUGAUCUUUUAACAUUGGAGCAUUGUAGAAAUUCAACCAAGCUAUUUACCAACUGUAAAGCUCUACAGCAUGACAGUAGGCAUGUACUUGUCCUCCCAGGCCCAUUUCACUGCUUUGGAAAUGACAUUUCGCCUGCAUCUGUUACACACUGCUCCAUAACAAACCAUCCUGUAAUUUGGGGACAUCCCACUUCACCACGGAAAGACAAAGAACCAACCACUUAACUGGAGACAAAGACAAAGCAAAAAGACAAAGACAAAGCCACUUGACUGGAGACCUGGACCUCCCUGCUGCCCACAACUAGCUAGAUCCCAGGGGUCCUGGACAUUCCCCAGGCUCUGCACCAGCAGUGGUUAGUGGCUGGAGCUGCAGAGGAUUGUCCCAGGCCUGGGCAGGGGCUACAUGACUUGAAUCAGCAUCAAGGUAGGAUGUCUCCAGGUCUUUUCCUCAGUUGACCCAGGUGGAGCAGAAGUGAAAGAGAGAGGCAAGAGGCUUAAAAGCGGUCAACAGUAAAACAUCAAAACAUGGAGCAGACUCUGGAUUACAUUCUUUUAAUUUAAUGUAGAAAAAUGCAUGCACAGUAAGUACAGAAACCCCAAGCAUACAGCAUGUGAGUUUUAAAAUAUGUAUAGACCCAUGUACAUAUAAUCUCGAAGAGACAUAGUGUUAGAGUCUGUAAACA